rnacentral:rRNA from 1 species
CGAUAACGAACGAGACCUUAACCUGCUAAAUAGACAAACUGGCUUAUGCUGGUUACUGUCUUCUUAGAGGGACUGUCAGUGUCUAACUGACGGAAGAUUGAGGCAAUAACAGGACUGUGAUGCCCUUAGAUGUUCUGGGCCGCACGCGCGCUACAAUGACAGAGACAGCGAGUUAAUCACCUUGACUGAAAGGUCUGGGUAAUCUUGUGAAACUAUGUCGUGCUAGGAAUAGAGCAUUGCAAUUAUUGCUCUUCAACGAGGAAUACCUAGUAAGCGCAAGUCAUCAGCAUGCGUUGAUUACGUCCCUGCCCUUUGUACACACCGCCCGUCGCUACUACCGAUUGAAUGGCU